AUUGAACGCUGGCGGCAUGCCUUACACAUGCAAGUCGAACGGCAGCACGGGUGCUUGCACCUGGUGGCGAGUGGCGAACGGGUGAGUAAUACAUCGGAACAUGUCCUGUAGUGGGGGAUAGCCCGGCGAAAGCCGGAUUAAUACCGCAUACGAUCUACGGAUGAAAGCGGGGGACCUUCGGGCCUCGCGCUAUAGGGUUGGCCGAUGGCUGAUUAGCUAGUUGGUGGGGUAAAGGCCUACCAAGGCGACGAUCAGUAGCUGGUCUGAGAGGACGACCAGCCACACUGGGACUGAGACACGGCCCAGACUCCUACGGGAGGCAGCAGUGGGGAAUUUUGGACAAGGGGCGAAAGCCUGAUCCAGCAAUGCCGCGUGUGUGAAGAAGGCCUUCGGGUUGUAAAGCACUUUUGUCCGGAAAGAAAUCCUUGGCUCUAAUACAGUCGGGGGAUGACGGUACCGGAAGAAUAAGCACCGGCUAACUACGUG
rnacentral:rRNA from 1 species